UCUCCACCCCGGUGCUGGUCAGCUUGGGCUGCCGUUGGCUGGGUAGCUUAAACAACAGGAAUUUACUUUUCACAGUCUGGAGACCGGGAAGUCCAAGAUCAAGGUGCCAGCAAGGCAGGCUUCAUUUUGAAGACUCUGCUCUUGGCAUGUAGGCAGCUGCCAUCCCCCUGCAUGUUCACACGAGCCCCUUGUGCAUGCCUACAAGGGAGAGAGAGAGAGCACGAGAGCAGGCUCUCUCUCUUGAACACGAGAGCAGGCUCAUAAGGGUGCCGAUUCCGUCAUGAGAGCCCCGCCUGCCUGACUUCACCUAACCCUGAUUACCUCCCAGAGGCCCCAUUUCCAAAUACCAUCACAUUGCGGGUUAGGGCUUCAACUUGUGAAUUUGGGAGGGGGUUGACACAAACAUUCAGUCCAUAAUACCUGCUGAAGUUGAUCUAAGGUUUAGAGAUGGGUCUGCAAAAUAGGUUUCCACAAUAAAUGUUUGUUUAUUUAUUUUGAGAGAGAAUCCGAAGCAGCCUCUCCGUGCUGUCGGCACAGAGCCCAAUGAGAGGCUCAGUAUCAUGAGCCGUGACAUCAUGACCUGAGCUGAAGAGUCAGAUGCUUAACCAACUGAGCCACCCAGGUGCCCCGGGUUUCUGCUAUAUAUGGGAAGUUUAAAUACUCCCAUUAGCUAAGAAUCAGUUAUUAGGUCAUUUUACAGUUCUUUUAAACAACGGUAUCUGUGUAUGUGAAAAAAUACAUGUACGUAUAAUAAAACAUUUGGAGCAUAAAAUCAUGUAUUUUUCCAUCUAUAAAACAUCUUUGUACAUUCAUUGGUAAACUUCAGAUUUGAGUAUUGUUUGUCCCUGGUGAUAUAUUUGAUAAUUUAGUUUGUAUUCGUUUGACCAUAGUAUAUUUUAUCCAAGAAACUUAGAAGUUUACAUCUGAUUGUUUAGUCUGCUUGGAUUGUAUGUAUAGAAAGAUCGAGAUCAAGAUUGGGCCUGAGUAGGCACACAGGAAUCACACUGACAGGUGACCUAAUUUAGCACCCUGCAGCCCCAGGGCGCUGAGGCUUCUACCUUCUCAUGCCGCACAGAGACCCUCGCUCGGGUGCCGUGCGUGAGCGUGCCCUUCUUAGGCCUUGUACCUCUCUGGGCUACUGCCUUCCUGUCCUGUACCUGCUUCUCCCCUCAGUGACACCGAAGUAUGUUAACGGUGCUGGGAUAGCAUACACUUACUUAAACUUGGUUUCCCUUCAGAACAUUUCUUUGGAGCCGGUUUGAGAAACGGAGACAGAAACAGUUGUGCAGACUUCACGUAAUAGGGGUGUGAAUGAGUAUUAAGUAAGAAAAAUCAAUGUGAAGCCACUUAGCAUGAUUCCUAGCAAACGCCAGUGCCAGGUCCACUGUAUUCCAAGAGUGUUUCGAUGGCGGGGAGAGGCCAAGUGGUGGAUAGGUGAGUAAGAGUGAAAAUUUGGAACAGGUGGGCCUUCCAGAAUUUCUUAAAAAACCGUUCUGUGUAGCUGCUGCUUCUUUAGUCAUUUUCAACAAAUGAUCUUUAUGAUGUGUUUUAGCAAACUCUAAGGAUACUCACAUGUAAGGUCGUUAUCUGUUUAAGUGGUAAUUAUUUAGUAAUAAAUGUAGGUAUGAUGGGGAAAAUGUUCAUUUGGAUGCGUUUGAAUUGAAAAACAAAUGGCCAAGGACAUGAUGCACCUUCCAUCACUAGGUCUGAAUGCUAAGGUGUUAUUUCCAACAAGGGAACUGAGAGCAGGUCCUUCGACUAACCAUGCAUCAGGUUCAAUGAAGGUUGAGUUGGAUUUGGGUCUUACCUGGCAUUGAGGAAGCAGUGGGGCAGGGUUUUAUCAUUGAUUUCCACCUUGCAUCAUCUAGAUUGAAUUUCUUUGAUCAGUGAGUUGUAUUUUGUUUCCUCGUUUUAUGUUGAGUUAACGGUGCCAUUCACAGUGACAUUUCAAAGUUUGAGGUUGGUUAAUACUUUAAAUAGUUUAUCUGAUUUGACCUUAGUUUAUAGCGGAACUGACAGUGUAGUAUGUUGUGUACAUCGAAUCAGUUGUUUAUCCUACCUAGUCUAGAAAACAUUUGGUUUUCAGAUUUGUAUACUUAACCUUUUUUAUUGGUGGGUAAGUGAAUAUCCCAGUGCCUGGACCCGGCUUAGUGUGACUAGAGAAAUACUGGCCAGAAUAGUGUCACUUUCUCUAGUCAUCCUCAAAGAGCUGAAGUCUUUGAACUAUUUUUUAAAAACUCUAUAGAGAUGAGAUCAGUAUGAUAAGGAGGUAUGUCCCUAGGAUGGACGUAAUAAAAGCUUCCCUGAGUUAGGGAGUUUAGUGCUAUGGUGGUUAAAUAACCUGGAUUUGAUCACGACUUUUGUUUUUUGGGGAGGGUUUUUUUUGUGAAAGUUAAGAGAAGCUGUAAAGUAGUAGUUAAAAAGCAAGCUAACUUCUCAUAUCACUUCUUCUUCGUUUCAGAUCAGGGGCAGGGUAUGUGCAUACAAAAUAGGCAAGGCCAGUCCCUCUUAUAAUGGAUACAAUAAAACAAAACAUCUUUGCUUUUGGUUAAAACAGAAGGUUGACAAACUGCUGAGGAGAGUUAAGAAAUUCACAGGCUAAUACACUAUGUGGGGCACAUGUUCUUUUCAUACUGCUCCCAAGGAUGUUCUCUACCCUUUGGAGCCGGAGACUGAUUAUUUUCCUUGAUAUUUUAAACCCAAAGGAUUCAGUCUUUAGAUUGGGUAUUUAAACUCUGUGAAAUCACAAACUGUAUGUCGUUUCACAGUUUCCUUUCUACAUAAUGAAAAUGAAAUUCACUCGGUUUCAUUUUUAUGGGGAUAGGCAGGAUAGCAGUGGCUUUGAGCAUAUCACUAGGGAUGAGUUAAAAAUAGAUUUUUCUUGAGGCAGUGACAUUAUAUGGUAGACAGUUGACAGGAGA